ACAGUGCAGGCCGGUGGCUGAGAGAAAAGACAGAAAACUGCACUCGACAGGAGGACUCGGGGUAAAAAAAAGGAGGUAGGAGAAGCCAGAGGAGAGAGGAAGGGGACGCAGAAUGAGAGAAGAAGAAGAGGAGUCCCAUUCCAGCUGUGUUUCUAAAACAAACAGAGCUGUGAGAACUUCUUCACACUGAAGGAUUUCCAGCUGCACGCCAAGGGAACAAACAUUUACUCUUGACAUUUCUUGGUGGACUUUGUUGUUUAUCUGUGAUAAGGCUUUCAUUUAACCCAAACAUCUUGUUGUUAGUGUGCCGGGACAGAAAUAGCACUUUCAUUUGGAUAAGAAGUAUUUUUGGCUGCUCAGCUCGUCAUUUGAGAGUUUGAAUCAUGAGCACAGAAAACUUCACUCUCCUGGACAGCUUGUUCUUCGCGCCUCUCUGCGAUGGCUGGACCAACAACACCGAGGGAGCCAUCUACCACUUGGGAAACACCAUGGUCAUCCUCGGCUACAUGGGUGGCAGCGGGGCCUACGGCUGCCUCUUCAUCUUCGGUUUCCUCACCCCGGCCUUUGUGUGCCUGUCCCUGUGGGGCUGGAUCACCAUGUGCGGUCUGGACGUCUUCACCUGGAACCUGCUCCUGCUGCUGGCCUGCCUGGCUCAGAUCUGCCACCUCAUUUACCGGCUGCACCAGGAGGGCAUACCCAGAGAGGAGCUGUCCUCCCUGUACCAGGCGGUCUACCUGCCGCUGGGCGUCCCUGUGCAGGUGUUUAAGGACAUUGCAGGAGCCUUUGAGAACAGGGUGGUGGAGCUGAAGGCGGGGCAGACAUAUGCAGUGGAGGGGAAGACGCCCAUCGACCAGCUCUCCUUUCUGCUGUCUGGGAGGAUAAAUGUGUCUCUAGAGGGUCAGUUCCUGCACUACAUCCACCGCCACCAGUUCCUGGACUCUCCAGAGUGGGAGUCUCUCAGACCCAACGAGGAGGGAAAGUUUCAGGUGACCCUGACAGCAGAAGAAGACUCCCGCUACAUCUCCUGGACUCGCCGUCGCCUCUACUCGCUGAUUUCAAGGGAGCGCUACAUCGCCCGUCUCUUCUCCGUCAUGCUGGGCCACGACAUCGCCGAGAAGCUCUACAACCUCAACAACAAGCUCUACAUCAAGAGCGGGGUGCUGCUGGACAUCCGCCUGCCCAGCCUCUACCACGUGCUGGCCCCGUCCUCGCAGGGCAGCGAGGGUGGCAGCGGCAGCGACGGCGGCUUCAGCAAGGACCCGCAGGGUGAAGAUCCGGCACCGGCCUACCAGACAUCGGAUCCAGCUCAGUCUCAGCUGCAGGGACCAAGAAAGACCUCCCAGGAUGACACCAAGGCCCCCCAGCGUGACCGUUAUCAGAACCAAUGGUCAGACCCGGAGCUGCCCUCUGGUGAGGACUCCACCAGCCUGGUCCUGGAGGACUUUGCUGAUGUGGCGGGCUCCUUAACGGAUUAUGGCAGUGAGAGGGAUUAUUUGAGGUAGAAGGGAGAGGGUGCUGGAGCUAACACACUGGGUCACCACUUAAGCUACAUGAGGUGAUAGUGGUGGGAAUCUUCCACCUCGAUUCCAGAGAGGCAGAGCGCCGCUGGCUCCCACCGACACGCCCAAACUGUGAGGACAGUCUCUCCUGGAAACACUUUAAUAUUUAGAGUAUAGCAGUAUGAAUGUGCCACAUGUCACCUGUAAUGACUCUGUCUCCUCUUCGACCUCGCCCUCUGUCUCUGUUCUCAGUUCAUGUCUUCACAUGCUCCUUCCAUUCUCUAUUUGAGUUUCAGUUUGGGUGAAAAGAAAGCCGAUUGAUUUGAAAUCAUUUAGAAGAAUCAAGAUUUGGGGCCAAUAUUUUUAACCCUGUAGAAAUGAUUCAGGCACAUUUAAAGGUGCAGUGUGUAGAAAUGGGAAUAUUUAGCGACAUCUAGCUGCCAGAUUCUAAAUUCAAAGCUCCCUUGCUCAUCCCUCCUGUCGGUGAGGCAAUGGUGGCCUUAAAGGACAAGAAGCUCCUGUGAUGCACGAUAAAUCUGAUCCUCCAUUUAUCAAAUUAUUUUGCACACAACAACCACACUCUUCUUCUUUGUCUUAAAACUGGUGCAUCUCCUGCAGCCACUCACUAAAUACAAACACUCAUAUGUUACUAGUUUGUCCGCUCUGAGCUGCUGUAGAAACAUGGCGGUGCAAGAUGGCGACCGCCAUGGAAGGGAACCCACUCCUGUGUGGAUAUAAAAGCCUCAUUUUAAGUGAACAAAAACAAAACUAUUAGAUAUUCAGAUUAUUUAAACAUACUUAUGAACAUUAUGUUCCAUUUCUACCAAAUCAGUUCUGAUAAAUGUUGCUAAAAAUCACACACUGCACCUUUAACGGCCAAAGUGUUUGUUCUGUUUUGCUAAGAUUUGAAGAUUUGAAGCUUUAAGCAUCAGUGUGGUUAACGCCAGACUGUAGCCUGCCAUGAUUAGUGUCUCUUAAGGAAUGAAGAACUUACUGAUGAUUCAAGUCAUCGUCAAAUAUGAACUAAGAUUUAUAGAAAUGUGCUUAUGUUGCUGUCAAAGUAAAGAUUGAUGCUUUGGCUUACCGAUGAAUAAGAUAACUUUUAAUACUUUGUCAGAGGUCAGACAAAUCUGAAGUUAAAUCAGCGUUGAGGACAGUCUGUACCUUGUUAUUUUCCAGAACAAUAAAUGACAGAAAUGUGAUUAAAUAUUUGUAAAAAACGGUUCUCUGAUUUUGAAACAAACAGAUCUUGAUUUAUUCUCACUUAUCUUUGACAAAAGAAUAUUUAUUUUGCCUCAUCUUCUUGUGAUUUAAUGUUAAAUUGGAGUUUUUAUUAUUUUUUUCCUUUAAGAAAUCACACAGAAAGUUAUAAAUCGUAUUUCUGCACACCUCCAGCAGAGAAUGGCUGCAGAAAUAAAUUUGCAUUUUGUGAACAAUGAUAAAAACACAUAAUUUUUAACUGUAUCAGGUUGAACACUGCUGAUUAAAUUAGAUCUGUUUUUUAAUUAAUUAAAAAACUUUAUGUUAUUUUUCUUCCCCUGAACACACCACGAGUUGUUUCAGUGUCAGAGACGUACGCUGCAUGACUCUCCUCUUCCUCUUAGACGAUGUUCUGGAUGCUUGUAGACCAUGUUUUUGUACAUUUUUGAAUACACACCUCUAUACUGUGAAUUUCAUGAUGUUGCCUGUUAUUGUUACAGAGAAUGAGACUACAAUGAAUGAAGUGGAAGUAUUAUCAUGGGGCCAAGACUUCUCCAUAAAGCUCUUUGUGUGCGGUGAA